GUCGAUGUAGUAUAACGGUCAGUAUACGUGCCUGUCAAAUGGUGCAGAGUGUCUGUCCUUGGUUGGACGCACGUGAUCCGGGUUCGAUUCCCGGCAUCGGCG